rnacentral:rRNA from 1 species
GACGAACGCUGGCGGCGUGCUUAAUACAUGCAAGUCGAACGGAAAGGGCCUGUUCUUGUGGGGAGCUGGAGUGGAGAACGCGUGAGUAACACGCGAGUGACCUGCCCCUUACUUUGGGAUAACUUCAUGAAACUGGGGUUAAUAUCGGAUAUGAGCACCUUCUACACGGUGGGUGUUGGAAAGAUUCGGCGUUUCGGCAUGGACUCGCGGCUCAUCAGCGUGUUGGUGGGGUAGUGGGGUACCAAGGCAUUGACGGGUAGCCGGCCUGAGAGUGUGACCGGCCACAUUGGGACUGGGAUGCGGGCCAGACUCCUACGGGGGGCAGCGGUGGAAGACUGUGCACGAUGGGCCGAGGCCUGAUGCAGGAACUCCGCGUGCUGGAUGACGGCCUGCGGGUUGUAAACCGCGUUAGCCUGUGACGCAGCGUGAGUGACGGUAAUGAGUAAAGAAGCACCGGCUAACUACGUG